rnacentral:lncRNA from 1 species
GUGCAUUUCCUUUGUGACAGUUUGAGAAAACUCCCCAAGGUCCCAUAGCAGUUCCCCCUGCAACCAUGAUGUCAUCUCUCACAAGCUGUUCCCCAGGAUGGGAUCAGCACUCCAGAUGUGGGUACUUGGGUGAACUUUCUAGGUUGGAAGCUUGAGGGGGGCGGGGCAGGAGAAGGAGGAGUACAAUGGACUUCUUUGCUGGGGCCAGCUGGCUUAGUCAUUCUAUAAGCAUCCAUCAGGUGCUAGCCUCUGCUGUACCGGGAGACAAAAGAAAGAAGAGGCCUCAGAGCAGAUGGCUAGUGGAAGCUGGUGGGCUAUAGCUGACCUCUGAGGACAUGUGGAGGGCACAAUAGGGACCGUGGUGUCAGGAAGAGGGUGAGUGGAGGGUUGAGUCCCCAAGAAGGAGACUCAUGGGCUUCAUAAGGUCUCAUGAAGAACGGAAGGUGAGAGCCCCUUGGUGCCUGAGGGACCUGUCUUCCUGGGAGCAGGCUUGUCUUCCUACUGAAGGAAUGACAGGUCUCUGUCUUUAGGAAGGUGGUAUGGUUUUCUACAAAGGGGACUGGAGAGGAUACCAUAAGUUUGGGGAUUCUUGACUGCUUCCUGCAGAUUGUAGCGAGCGAGGGACUCAGGGAGUUAAAGAGAAAGCACCUUAAGAAGAGCAAGGUAAGAGAGGAGGGGCAAGACGGCCAUGGGGUCGCCCGUGAGAUGGAAAGAGAGCGGCAGGGUGGACCAGGGGCUUGCGGGAGGCCCUUGGAGCAUGGGGACGCCCGGGAACCUCGCCGGCCUGAGAAGCGCUGGUGCGGAGCCCCCAAGCGCUCACUGGGUGGGUUGGAGAACUGGGAGGUCCCUGGGCGCCGGGUGGGGG